rnacentral:rRNA from 1 species
UACAGAGGUCUCGAGCGUUAGGCGGAAUCACUGGGCUUAAAGCGUGUGUAGGCGGGUCGUUAAGUACCUUGUGAAAUCCCAUGGCUCAACCAUGGAACUGCUUGGUAUACUGGCGAUCUUGUGCAACCUAGGGGCGAGCGGAACAGAUGGUGGAGCGGUGAAAUGCGUAGAUAUCGGGAGGAACACCAGUGGCGAAGGCGGUUACCUGGAGCUUUGCUGACGCUGA